rnacentral:rRNA from 1 species
GACAGAGGGUGCAAACGUUGUUCGGAAUUACUGGGCGUAAAGGGCGCGUAGGCGGCACCGCAAGUCGACUGUGAAAUCUCCGGGCUUAACCCGGAAAGGUCAGCCGAUACUGCGGGGCUAGAGUGCAGAAGGGGCAACUGGAAUUCUCGGUGUAGCGGUGAAAUGCGUAGAUAUCGAGAGGAACACCUGCGGCGAAGGCGGGUUGCUGGGCUGACACUGACGCUGAUGCGCGAAAGCUAGGGGAGCGAACGGG